UAUAUAUGCUGCUGGUUUCAGUAGCAUUUGCUUUGAUGUAAAGAUGUUUUCAAUUUGCUCUCCAAUCAAAGUUGUUUACGGACUAUCUUUUGUUUCCGAGCUGGAAUAUGUGGUCUGGUGGUGUUUUGAUACUUGCAUUUUUGGAGUAUUUAUGUAUUCGCGAGAGUUGUAUUGUUUGGAUGUUAGUGUGCGAGCAGGCAUACAGUAUGGCGCAAAAUCUGGAUUAGGAAAGUGAUGGCAGAUGUGUUCUUCAGUUUCACACAGGAUUGAUGUCUGUAAUCAAGCAAAAACUUGCAAAAAUAGAUGGGGGUCAAAUAGAUUGGAAUCAUGAUACUGAGCACCUCUGGGGAUUUUUACCAGCUAUACAAGCGACAGCAUAGAGUCGAUGAUAUUCCAGAGACAGGAACAAAGAUGGCGUGAAUCUGGAACUUUUGGUGCUUACUUUGGCGAUUAUUUAGAAAUGAAAGAGACAAUUGCUACCUUGAGGCCUUUAGUUGAGUUGAUGGAGGUACUUAGCAAAGAUGCCGAUCCUAAUGGAGUUGGAAGACUUAUUUCGGGGGAGGUAUUUGUCCUUUUUCCUCAUAUGUUCGUAUGUGAUAUUCAACAAAUGGCUUACUGCUGUAAGCCUGUUUGUGUCUUUAUUUUCAUCUUAUAUUCACUAAUUCGAGUCGCUUUUGGGUGACUAAUAAUAAUGGUGAAACCAAAACAUUGUUUACAAGUCUCUGUUGCCAACUAUUUUCAGCAUUGUUGGUUCAGAUUCAGUGUACGCGAUUGACUUUUUCAUUGAUCUGGGUUUUUAGGUGUGAAGAGUUAAAAAUACCAGUGCAACAUCAACUGGGGAAAGGGAAUUGUUGUCGUGGGAUUAGAAAUAUAUCUUUAGUUUCUCUUAGGCAUUUGAGUUCAAUAUGAAUAUUGGGACUUAUUGUAUUUGUGCUCUGUUUUUUAUUCUGCAGAUUAAACCUCUUGCUGAAUCUGGAGCAAAGAUGGGGGCCAAAUAGAUCAGAGUCGUGAUGUCAAGAGACAGGAAAAAAGAUGGUGUGGUGCGGCUUAAAAAUUAGAACUUGGGGAAGCAACGAAUCGAUAUCUGUGAGUGUUGGGGUGGAAGAGAAAGAGUGUGUGUGUGGCUGUGAAAAACAACAAUCGAAGUGAGAGCUGGUGACUCAGGUUUAUAAUUGCUUUGCUGAUGCUGUGUUCUACGUAAAAUGGGGAAAAGAGAGGAGUGCUCAAAUUUCCUUGUUUUGCUCUUGGGUGCUUUUGACAAACUCUUUCAUAUGAAUCUAUAUUUAUUUUGUUUGUGCACGUGU